AUGGGGUACCGAACCCCCUGAUACGGGCUGUUCGGUCACUAUACCACCGAUGUCAGAGUUUGGUUCGCAUUGCCAGCAGUAAGUCGGAAUCGUUUCCAGUGGGGGUAGGACUCAGCCAAGGCUGCCCUUUGUCGCAGAUUCUGUUCAUAACCUUUAUGGACAGAAUUUCUAGGCGCAGCCGAAGCGUUGAGGGGGUCAGUUUUGGGGGCCUCAGUAUUACAUCCCUGCUUUUUGCAGAUGAUGUGGUGCUGUUGGCUCCUUCAAACGGGGCUCUCCAACUCUCACUGGAGCGUUUCGCAGCCGAGUGUGAAGCGGUUGGGAUGGUAAUCAGCACCUCCAAAUCUGAAACCAUGGUCCUCGGUCGGAAAAGGGUGGAGUGCCCCCUCCGGGUCGGGGAGGAGAUCUUACCCCAAGUGGAGGAGUUCAAGUAUCUUGGGGUCUUGUUCACGAGUGGGGGUAGGAGGGAGCGGGAGAUCGACAGGCGGAUCGGUGCAGCGUCUGCUGUGAUGCGGACGUUGUAUCGGUCUGUCGUGGUGAAGAAGGAGCUGAGCCAAAGGGCGAAGCUUAAUUUACCGGUCGAUCUACGUCCCAACCCUCACCUAUGGUCACGAGCUAUGGGUCGUGACCGAAAGAACGAGAUCCCGGAUACAAGCGGCUGAAAUGAGUUUUCUCCGCAGGGUGUCCGGGCUCUCCCUUAGAGAUAAGGUGAGAAGCUCAGUCAUCCGGGAGGGGCUCAGAGUCGAGCCGCUUCUCCUCCACAUCGAGAGGAGCCAGAUGAGGUGGCUUGGGCAUCUGAUUCGGAUGCCUCCUGAGCGCCUCCCCGGUGAGGUGUACCGGUCAUAUCUCACCGGGAGGAGACCCAGGACACGCUGGAGAGACUAUGUCACCCAGCUUGCCUGGGAACGACUCGGGAUCCCCCGGGGAGAGCUGGAAGAAGUAGCUAGGGAGAGGGAAGUCUGGGCUUCCCUGCUAAAGCUGUUGCCCCCGCGACCCGGCCCCGGAUAAGCGGUAGAUGAUGGAUGGAUGGAAAAAACCUUACACCCAAAGAGCAGGCAAAAUCUAAAUUGGAGAAAAAGACAAGGUCUCCCAGAGCAAAUUUGAGGAGACCAUGGAAUGAAGAAGAAAAGGCUGCUGUGGAAAAACACUUGGGGAGACUUAUAAAAGGGUGUCAAGCAAGAACAAUGCACUGACUGCAAAAUGAAAGAGCCGCAGGCCUUGGGUCAAAGAACCUGUAAAGACGUAAAGAACUUCAAGAAAAGAUCUGCUUCUCGAGUUCUUCAUUUUUAAAUUGAAAUUUUCUUGCUGGAGUAUUUUUUUUUCAAUUCUUUUCCACUCUUCCUGAGCAGUGUUGUUAAAAAUGUUCUACUUGAGGUGAGAUUUAAUGUUGACAUGUACUUAUAAAGUUUUACAAUAUAUUUGAUUUAGUUCCGUAAAUUAAUUGGCCAAAGCAUGGGUCACUUUUAUUGUAGUAGUAAUUGUACAGCAAUCAAUCGGUUCAAGUUGUGAUUGAUAUAUAAUGUAUAAAUGAGGAACUCUGCUUAUCUUAAGUUGAAACUAUCAAAUUAUUCAUAAAACAGACUACUCACACUUUUUAAAAUUAAAAUACAAAAUGUCUGCUGUGUAAUUGCAGGUUAAUAAGAGAGGAAAAACUCUGAAGGCCAUACCAAAAGUUGAUUUGUAUGCUUAACUGCAACAAAACCAAAAAAGAUAAGAUAUUUUAACCAAAGUCACAACAGGAGUGAGGACUUUGAAUGUGCCCAUUCAGAGUCCUCACUCCUGCUAUGAUUUCAGUUUCAAGUCUACUUUUUAUUGCUCUGUUUUUUAAAGAAGUUGAAGUGGGGAAAGUAGUUGGGGUGACAUCUAGUGUACAAAUCUAAGACUAGUUCCUCUCUAAACCUAUCAGAAAGGGUGGUCCUCACUCCCUAUCUGGAGUUACCCGGACCUCACAAAUAUAGUCUUACAGGAAUGCGUGUGUGUGUGUGUGUGUGUGUGUGUGUGUGUGUGUGUGUGUGUGUGUGUGUGUGUGUGUGUGUGUGUGUGUGUGUGUGUGUGUGUGUGUGUGUGUGUGUGU